AUUGAACGCUGGCGGCAUGCCUUACACAUGCAAGUCGAACGGCAGCACGGGAGCAAUCCUGGUGGCGAGUGGCGAACGGGUGAGUAAUAUAUCGGAACGUGCCCAGUAGUGGGGGAUAACUGCUCGAAAGAGCAGCUAAUACCGCAUACGACCUGAGGGUGAAAGGGGGGGAUCGCAAGACCUCUCGCUAUUGGAGCGGCCGAUAUCAGAUUAGCUAGUUGGUGGGGUAAAGGCCUACCAAGGCAACGAUCUGUAGUUGGUCUGAGAGGACGACCAGCCACACUGGGACUGAGACACGGCCCAGACUCCUACGGGAGGCAGCAGUGGGGAAUUUUGGACAAUGGGCGCAAGCCUGAUCCAGCAAUGCCGCGUGCAGGAAGAAGGCCUUCGGGUUGUAAACUGCUUUUGUCAGGGAAGAAAUCUUCUGGGCUAAUACCCCGGGAGGAUGACGGUACCUGAAGAAUAAGCACCGGCUAACUACGUG
rnacentral:rRNA from 1 species